UACGGGGGGGGCAAGCGUUGUUCGGAAUUACUGGGCGUAAAGGACUCGUAGGCGGCCAACUAAGUCAGACGUGAAAUCCCUCGGCUUAACCGGGGAACUGCGUCUGAUACUGGAUGGCUUGAAUCCGGGAGAGGGAUGCGGAAUUCCAGGUGUAGCGGUGAAAUGCGUAGAUAUCUGGAGGAACACCGGUGGCGAAGGCGGCAUCCUGGACCGGCAUUGACGCUGAGGAGCGAAAGCCAGGGGAGCAAACGGG
rnacentral:rRNA from 1 species